rnacentral:rRNA from 1 species
CCGGUGAGCAGCGUGUCGCAAUUACUGGGCGUAAGGGCGUGUAGGCGGUAUUGUAAGUCAGAUGUAAAAGGCUACGGCUGAACCGUAGAUUGUCAUUUGAAACUACAGUACUUGAGCUGCGAGAGAGGGUAGUGGAAUUCCCAGUGUAGCGGUGAAAUGCGUAGAUAUUGGGAAGAACACCAGUAGCGAAGGCGGCUACCUGGACUCGUAACUGACGCUAAUGCGCGAAAGCGUGGGGAGCGAACAGGAUUAGAUACCCUGGUAGUCCACGCCGUAAACGAUGAACACUAGGUGUUGGUCCCGACGUGUCGGGAUCGGUGCCGCAGCAAACGCAUUAAGUGUUCCGCCUGGGGAGUACGAUCGCAAGGUUGAAACUCAAAGGAAUUGACGGGGGCCCGCACAAGCGGUGGAGCAUGUGGUUUAAUUCGAUGCAACGCGAAGAACCUUACCGGGGUUUGACAUAUUAGUGAAGUAUGCAGAGAUGUAUACGCCUUUCGGGGCGCUAUUACAGGUGCUGCAUGGCUGUAGUCAGCUCGUGUCGUGAGAUGUUGGGUUAAGUCCCGCAACGAGCGCAACCCUUGCCCAUAGUUGCCAGCAAGUAAUGUUGGGGACUCUAUGGGGGACAGUCGGCGAUAAGCCGGAGGAAGGUGGGGAUGACGUCAAGUCCUCAUGGCCCUUACAUCCCGGGCUACACACGUGCUACAAUGGCCGGUACAACGGGUUGCGAUACUGUGAAGUGGAGCCAAUCCCUAAAAACCGGUCUCAGUUCGGAUUGCAGUCUGCAACUCGACUGCAUGAAGUCGGAAUCGCUAGUAAUCGCGGAUCAGCUCGCCGCGGUGAAUACGUUCCCGGGCCUUGUACACACCGCCCGUCACGUCCAUGGAAGUCGGCAGUACCCGAAGCCGGUGUCCUAAUCCGCCAGGAAAGGAGCUGUCGAAGUAAGGCCGUACGGGG